AAAGAUUUUAUUUAAACUCUCCUGUGUAAAAGUUAGCGCACGGCUCAGCAAUGAGCCAUUCCCCUAGGCCCGGAACGUUUGUUCUGGGCAUUUUUUA
rnacentral:sRNA from 1 species